rnacentral:rRNA from 1 species
GAUGAACGCUGGCGGCGUGCCUAAUACAUGCAAGUCGAGCGAACAGACGAGGAGCUUGCUCCUCUGACGUUAGCGGCGGACGGGUGAGUAACACGUGGAUAACCUACCUAUAAGACUGGGAUAACUUCGGGAAACCGGAGCUAAUACCGGAUAAUAUAUUGAACCGCAUGGUUCAAUAGUGAAAGACGGUUUUGCUGUCACUUAUAGAUGGAUCCGCGCCGCAUUAGCUAGUUGGUAAGGUAACGGCUUACCAAGGCAACGAUGCGUAGCCGACCUGAGAGGGUGAUCGGCCACACUGGAACUGAGACACGGUCCAGGCUCCUACGGGAGGCAGCAGUAGGGAAUCUUCCGCAAUGGGCGAAAGCCUGACGGAGCAACGCCGCGUGAGUGAUGAAGGUCUUCGGAUCGUAAAACUCUGUUAUUAGGGAAGAACAAAUGUGUAAGUAACUAUGCACGUCUUGACGGUACCUAAUCAGAAAGCCACGGCUAACUACGUG